AUGCCUACGGGGCGCAGCAGUGGGGAAUAUUGGGCAAUGGGCGCAAGCCUGACCCAGCAACGCCGCGUGAAGGAAGAAGGCUUUCGGGUUGUAAACUUCUUUUGUCAGGGACGAAGCAAGUGACGGUACCUGACGAAUAAGCCACGGCUAACUACGUGCCAGCAGCCGCGGUAAUACGUAGGUGGCAAGCGUUAUCCGGAUUUAUUGGGUGUAAAGGGCGUGUAGGCAGGAAUGCAAGUCAGAUGUGAAAUCCCGCGGCUCAACCGCGGAACUGCAUUUGAAACUGUCAGUCUUGAGUACCGGAG
rnacentral:rRNA from 1 species